UAAAACUUUCAACAACGGAUCUCUUGGCUCUGGCAUCGAUGAAGAACGCAGCGAAAUGCGAUAAGUAAUGUGAAUUGCAGAAUCCAGUGAAUCAUCGAAUCUUUGAACGCACAUUGCGCCCGCCAGCAUUCUGGCGGGCAUGCCUGUUCGAGCGUCAU
rnacentral:rRNA from 1 species